AGCUCACGCACUUGCGCCGUCUCCUCCUUCCCAAAACACGUCUCUCCCACACCGACGCUUCACAGUGUCCGCUUAUCGCGCACGCUUGACUGUCCCUCGCACCGCCGCCCCCUUCGCCCUUUUCUCUUCGCUUUUUUUUCCAUUCCGAUACAAUGAUGCGCAAGACGUCCGCGUGCGCCAUCGCGGCCACUCGCAGGGCGCUCGUAGGCAACGGCCCAACUUUCCACACGGGUGGUGACAACAACAACAUGUCCGACAUCCAGAACGCCUUCCCGAUGAACGAGCGCGGCAUCCGCUCCUCCUCGCCGUUCCCGGAGCCGAACACGGCCAUCUACGAUUCGUACAUGCCCUGGACAUACUUCCAGCCGAUCGACGUGAAGGUGGACAAGAUGCCAGCACCGGAGGCGAAGUACUACCAGCAUCACACAAAGAAGCCGUGGGAUGUGUCGACGACCGACCUUAUCGAGAUCCAGUCGCGCAAGAAGUACGUGCAGGGCGUGGGGUACUUCGUCAUGUUGAUCUACCUGUACUUCCUGAUGCCGAAGGAAAAGUCUUACUCGGGCGAGACCGGCUCCGACGGCUUCUUCGUGAUGCUGCCCAAGAACCAGCCCGAGAAGUUCUAAAGUGCGAGCGGCCCAGCUAAUCACAGACGCAGAUUCGUUCAGAAGAAUGGAGAGAGGGCGAGAUGGAGUGAGAGACAAGGAGGGACGCAUGCCCCCCAGGCCGGCGCUGACAUGAUUUCCAGCGCCCCAGGUACCAUCCGCCAUCGCGCGCGCACUUGUUGCCCCUCUCGUAGCUCUGCCCCUUCUCUCCGACCUCCCCCUCUUCCCUCUCCAGCCUGUAAGCACUUGUCUGGCGCUGUGUCUCUGUGCGCCCCUCACUCGGGGUGCUUGAGGAACGCGUACGGCGGCGAGGAGGACAGAGGCCAGCCGGUGCAGUAACGGUGGGAAGUCGAACACGGCGAGAGUGCGCCAAAACAAGAAGGCGUCCCGUUACAAGGCUGCAUGACCAAGAGAGCGGCGCGUGUGCGUCGCCGGCACCCCCUCCCCUGACCUCGUUGUAGUAGUAGUAGGACGUACACG
rnacentral:misc_RNA from 1 species